rnacentral:rRNA from 1 species
GACGAACGCUGGCGGCGUGCCUAAUACAUGCAAGUAGAACGCACAGUUUAUACCGUAGCUUGCUCCACCAUAGACUGUGAGUUGCGAACGGGUUAGUAACGCGUAGGUAACCUGCCUGGUAGCGGGGGAUAACUAUUGGAAACGAUAGCUAAUACCGCAUAAUAUUAAUUAUUGCAUGAUAAUUAAUUGAAAGGUGCAAUUGCACCACUACCAGAUGGACCUGCGUUGUAUUAGCUAGUAGGUGAGGUAACGGCUCACCUAGGCGACGAUACAUAGCGGAACUGAGAGGGGGAUAGGCCAAACUGGGACUGAGACACGGCCCAGAAUACUACGGGAGGCAGCAGUAGGGAAGCUUCGGCAAUGGACGAAAGUCUGAACGAGCAACGCCGCGUGAGUGAAGAAGGUUGUCGGAUCGUAAAGCUCUGUUGUAAGAGAAGAACGGGUGGGAGAGUGGAAAGUUCACACUGUGACGGUAUCUUACCAGAAAGGGACGGCUAACUACGUG